CUUUUGUCCUUUGUUCAAAUAGGGUUAAGCACCCUUUUGCAUUUGAGAGUGGGAAGAGAUGCAAUGAGUUUAACAAUUAACUUUCUUUUUUCUUUUUAUAUAUAAAAGUAUAGGUGUGCUAACUGACAGCAUAUUACGAAUAUUUCAUUUUUGAAAUAUGCAAAGAAUGUUGAUUUUGAAUUUUUCAAAAGCUAAUAUGGUAAUGACCUAAUAUAAAGCCAUUGGAAAGCAAUAUUGAUCCAUCCAAAUUAUUAUAUGAAAAGCUAUGGAGUGAUUCAAUUCAUCGAGAUGUCCUGUUUUCUUGUAAUUAAUAAUGACAAUAAGAUAACAAUCAUAACAGUAAUACUGAGCAUG
rnacentral:misc_RNA from 1 species